rnacentral:rRNA from 1 species
CCUACGGGAGGCAGCAGUGGGGAAUAUUGGGCAAUGGGCGCAAGCCUGACCCAGCAAUGCCGCGUGAAGGAAGAAGGCUUUCGGGUUGUAAACUUCUUUUGUCAGGGAGCAAUUGGGUCCCCGCGUGGGCUUAGCGCGCGUACCUGAAGAAAAAGCAUCGGCUACCUCCGUGCCAGCAGCCGCGGUAAUACGGAGGAUGCGAGCGUUCUCCGGAUUUAUUGGGUUUAAAGGGUGCGUAGGCGGAAUAUCAAGUCAGCGGUAAAAAUUCGGGGCUCAACCCCGUCGUGCCGUUGAAACGGAUGGUCUUGAGUGGGCGAGAAGUAGGCGGAAUGCGUGGUGUAGCGGUGAAAUGCAUAGAUAUCACGCAGAACUCCGAUUGCGAAGGCAGCAUACCGGAGCCCAACUGACGCUGACGCACGAACGCGUGGGUAUCGAACAGGAUUAGAUACCCUUGUAGUC